rfam:Leptolyngbya valderiana BDT 20041 contig00368, whole genome shotgun sequence.
GCCGCUGUAGCUCAGUGGUAGAGCGCACCCUUGGUAAGGGUGAGGUCGUGAGUUCAAGUCUCACCAGCGGCU